rnacentral:ncRNA from 1 species
CGUCUCCUCCAUGUCUCCUCCUGAUAUGGAUUAAGCCCGCAAACACGCGGGCUUUCUUUU